ACCUGUCAAACAGAACCUCACAUCUCAUGUCGGUCCAACUACCUUAGCUAUGUUUCUAAGCUCUCAUUACGCUGGGGAUGAUCUAACACCAAAUUUUGCUCAAGGUGAAGCCUGGAAGAAAGUUUUUGGCCCCGUGUUUAUAUAUCUCAAUUCUGUUAUGCCAGGGGAAGAUCCUGUUACUCUAUGGGAUGAUGCCAAGAUACAGAUGCAGCGUGAAGUUCAAAGUUGGCCUUACAGUUUUCCAGUAUCUGAGGAUUUUCCAUCAGCAGAUCAAAGAGGCAGUGUUAGCGGUAAACUUUUGGUUCAAGACAAGUACAUUAGUGAUGAUCAUAUAACUGCAAAUGGCGCUUAUGUCGG
rnacentral:misc_RNA from 1 species